GGUAUGAGCUUUCGUGUGCAUGCACACUUCUUCAGAUACAAUCCUCUCAGUUUCUUCAGAUACAGAUGUGUAUCUGAAGAAGUGUGCAUGCACACGAAAGCUCAUACC